rnacentral:misc_RNA from 1 species
ACUAGCUCAAGCUAGCCCCAGCAAGAAUUACUCAUACAAUAAACAUAAACUUUUCAUAUUCCUAUUUCCCUGGAUAAAGGGUUAUUUAUAUACAAGAAUAUUGCCUUGCUCAAUUCAACAUCAUAUGCUUGGUGUGAUCCGCAAAGUGUGCUAACGGAAAUUUCUCCAAAUCAUUCACUGACAUCUGUCCCAUGCUAGAAUCUUCUAUUCCUCCAUUCUGAUUUGCAGCAGCCAGCCCUUUCUUCCAUUUCUUUCUAUUAUACACCCGUAAAGGCCUUGAACUUUGGCCUAAGAAAGCUCAAUCCAUGUUUGGACUGCUAACAUUACUUCCCCCCCUGAUGUUGCCUUGUCCUUAAGGCUUAAAGAAGGAAACUGAUUAAUUGCAUCAAUAUAAUUCAUUCAAGUAGCUUCUUCUACUGAAUACCCUUUCCACUUGAUUAAAAGUUGAGGAACUUGAUCUCCAUUAACAUCAACAAUUCUCUCCUCUAAUAUUUCUUCAAGUUCAACAAAGUGUUCCUCCACCUCCAACGCCUUAGGCAACUCAUGAAGAACCUUAUGAUUUCCCAAAACCCUUUUCAAUUGUGACACAUGAAAUACAUGAUGGAUCCUAACUCCUUCCGGUAGCUGUAAUUUAUAAGCUACAUUCCCAAUGUUUUGCACAAUGGUAAAAGGACCAUAAUAUCGAGCAGCAAGUUUGGAAUAAACAAUUUGCUAAAGAGUGGAUUGGCGGUGUGGCCUGAGCUUGAGAAAAACAGAAUCGCCAACAACAAAAUUGACAUCCUCACGAUGUUUAUUAGCUGCUUUAACCAUUCGUUGCUGUGCCUUUGACAAAUUAUACUUUAAUUGUCAAAGAAGCUCAUCUCGUGUGGCCAAUUCUUUUGCUACAGCCUCCACUUUGGUCUCUCCAGGUAAGAACUGUUGCAAAGUAAGGGGUGGCCUGCCAUAAACCGCUUCAAAAUGAGUUAAACCAGCAGCUAUAUGAUAGCUUGAAUUAUACCAUUAUUCCGCCCAAGGAAGCCAUCUACUCCAUUGCUUGGGUCGCUCAGAAGCAAAACACCUUAAAUAAGUUUCUAAUCCUUUAGCCAAAACCUCUGUCUGCCCGUCAAUUUCAGGAUGAUAAGCAGUACUCAUUUGCAGCUGAGUUCCUUGCAAUUUAAAUAAUUCAGACCAGAAAAUGCUUAGAAACAAAAGAUCUCGAUCACUUACAAUAGAUCAAGGCAUUCCAUGAAGGCGUAUAAUCUCCUUAGCAAACAGCUCAGCUACUGUUUUAAUUGUAUAAGGAUGGCGCAGCCCAAGAAAAUGUCCAUAUUUUGAUAGACAAUCAACCACAACAAGAAUGGCAUCAACACCAUUAGAUUUAGGAAGUCCUGUGAUGAAAUCCAAAGAAAUAUCCUCUCAAACACGAUCCGGAAUAGGAAGUGGUUGCAAUAACCCAGCAGGAGAAGUAAUCUCAUAUUUGUGUUUUUGGCAAAGAAGACACUCUGCUACAAAAAGCUGAACUGAUUUCAUCAUUCCUUGCCAACAGAGAUUAGAUGCCACCCUCUUGUAAGUUCUGAAGGCACCAGAAUGACCCCCUAAAGGGGAAGAGUGAAAUUCUUAUAAUAAUUUCUUGAUCCAAGGAGAAGAUGCUGAUAUUACCAACCUGCCUUUAUAAAACAAUCUCCCUUGAAUGAGAGAAUAAUGAACAUGGGACUCAGGAUUAGAUUGAGGACCCUGAAUAAUUUUUUGAAGCUUCGGAUCACUUGCCACUACCCGUACAAUUUGCUGCCAAUCCAUCCAUUGGGGAAUGCUUAUAACUGUUAACGUCAUAUCCUCAUCCCUUCGAGAUAAAGCAUCUGCUGCGGAAUUAGAAUAGCCUGGUUUGUAUAAAAUCUAAAAAUCAUAACCAAGCAACUUUGCUCCCCAAAAUUGUUGGGCAGGAGCUUGAAGUAAAUGUCGAAGACUGCUCUAGUCAAUAUGAACUAUGAAUUUUCGCCCAAUUAAGUAAGGACGCCAAUGUUGAACCGCGAGGACAAGAGCUAUCAUUUCACGCUUGCAAGCAGAUUUUGAAAGAGAUUGGGGGGAUAAUGCCUUAUUGAAAUAAGCAAUUGGCCUCUUUUCUUGCAUCAAGACCGCUCCUACUUCUGUACCUGAGGCAUCACACUCAACAACAAAUGUUUUAGAAAAAUCUGGUGCUGCCAAAACCGGGGAACGUACCAAGGCUUGUUUGAGGUGAUCAAAGGCAUGCUGAGCUUGUGGAUUCCAAAGUAAUUUCCCAUUAUGUUCUUUUUUUAAUAAUUGAGUGAGAGGUUGUGCUAGAAGACCAUAUCCUUUUAUGAAUCUGCAACAGUACCUAGUCAACCUGAGAAAUCCCCUUACUGCCUUUAGCGACUUAGGUUGGCGCCAAUUAACAACACUCGAAACCUUGGAAGGAUCCAUAGCAACCCCUUGAGCUGAAACUAUAUGACCCAGAUAUUCCACCAUAGUCCUGCCAAGAGAGCUCUUUUUCUGAUUCACUUGAAAUGGAUUCUGCUUUAGUAAAUUCAACACCACUCUAACAUGCUGCAGAUGUUCAUUCCAUGUCUUGCUGUAGAUUAGUAUGUCGUUAAAGAAUACAAGCACAAAACAACAAAGAUAUGGUCGGAACAAGUCGUUCAUGGUCACUUGAAAAGUCGCAGAAGCAUUCAUUAAACCAAAUGGCAUUACUACAAACUCAUAGUGACCCGAAUGGGUUUGGAAAGCUGUCUUCGAAAUAUCUGCUUCAGAUACUCGUAUCUGAAAAUACCCUGACUUCAUAUCGAGUUUAGAGAAAUAUUUAGCUCCUGCAGGCUCAUCCAGCAUUUCAUUAAUCACUGGAAUUGGAUAUUUAUCUGGAAUGAUAGCCUUGUUUAGAGCUCUGUAAUAGAUACAAAAUCUCCAGUUUCCGAUUUUUUUUU